GGGGGGAGGGGCGGCGGGGCGGUGCAUGCCGGGAGGGAGGGACAGGCUGCCAAGAGCCGGCGCCCUACAGAAGUUGGACGCCGGGGUCCCCUGGCUCCGCGUCCCCGGAAGACUCCGGACCGGGGACGACAGAGGGGGCAACCGCAGGGGUCUUAAAGGGCCCGCGGGGUGCUUUUGGGUCGGGCUUUGGGUCCCGCGCCACCCUAAGCCUUGGCAACGCCGAUCGCCUUCCCGCCAGGUGUCUGUCCUAGCGCCCUGCCGGACCGCGCCCUGGGGCCGAGACCGCCCGCAGGCUCCGUGCCCCCCCCAGCCGGCAGCCGCGGGGAACGCCCCCUGCAGCGCGGCCCAGAGCCGACCCUUUCCCAGGAGAGGUCGGGGUGUCCAGGGCCUGACAACGUCCCCGGAGAAUAAAGGGCCUGAUCGCAGAGCAUCAAAAUGGAUUUUCUGAACAAUUUCCUGCCUCUAAAUUAAAAUCUUGCCUUUAAAAGACUCGAAAUUAUCUGGAUCUGACAUCCUCCUUUUCGGGCCUGCUGAGUCACGGAAUAUUCUCCGUGCCAGAAUGACUCAGUUCACAGAAUCUGAGCCAGAAGAUCAUGAGUUUUAGUACGGGAUGGAACCUAGGCGCUUACCCAGUGCUGCUACGACAAGCAAAACGAGGAAGGGAGCAUGCUGCAAAAGUGGACAGCCUGAGGGUGGCGGUUUUUAAUUCUUUGAAGUUCUCAAGCAAAGUGGAUGAUCACGAGACAUAUUUUUUAACUUCUCAAGAUCAUAAUAGUAUAGUGAGAAUAAUAAGUACAUGGGGAAAAAAAACACCUGGUUUCAGUUCAGUCCAACUACUUGGACUCAGUAGUUCCGUUAAGAGAGGGAUAGCAGGGAUCUGAAAAAAAAAUGUUUGUUACUAUGGUUGGAAUUAGUGUUAACUCUAGGAGGACCUUAAGGAUAAUAGUCUGGUUGGCGGGGGAAAAGGGUCUAGGGGACUUGUCAAUAUGCUGAGCUUGCUUAGCAAGUCUGUGAAUCACUUAGAUUGUUCAUUUAUUUGAUGAGAUGGGUGGAAAUGAUGCAUGACUAAAAGUCUCAAACUCCUCAGCCCUUGGCACCUCCUCUUUGGGAAAAGAAAGUUGUGGAGUUGUUGGUACUAAUGUUUUAAUUAUUUUAUACUUGAGUCCAAAUAAAGUACAGUUGAACCUUAAACAACAUGGGUUUGAACUGCGCAGGUCCAUUUAUACAAGGAUUUCUUUCAGUAAAUAUAUUAGAAAUUUUUUUGAAAAUUUGCAACAAUUUGAAAGAACAUUUUAUUUUCCCUAGCUUUUUUUUUUUUUGCCACUUUUCUAACUUCCCUAGCUUACUUUUAAGAAUACACAUACACAAAAUAUGUGUUAAUUGACUUUAUGUUACCAGUAAGGCUUCCGGUCUGCAGUAGGCUAUUAGCAGUUAAGUUUUUGAGGGACUCAAAAGUUAUAGGUGAAUUUUUGACUGAGGUGCGGUGGAUGCCCCUAACCUCCACGUUGUUUAAGGGCCAACUGUAUAUUCAUUUAUACCUAGAGGGGCUGAUUCUGUCCUUGAUUGUACUUGAGAACAAACAAGGGCAUAUAGGACAAAGAUAAGGAUGUUAGUUGUAAAUAAAGCUACACAUAUUUUUAAUAAACAUAUUUAAGUAAAUAUAUCUAUACAUUUGCCUUACACAUUUUCAGUAUUUUAUUAGAUGUUGGCAAAUCAAACAGUGGUGUCCUUUUGUUUACCACCAAGUCAAAGACCUCAAAGGCAGCAAAAUCAACAUACAUAUUACCUUUGUCAUUCCUCCUCUUGGGGUUCUAAUGUCCAAGGGUAACUUAAAGCUAUUACGCUUAUCUAACCCAUGAUUUCAUGACCAGAACCUCAUCUGGCAUUUGUAAAGCCCAUAAGGAGAUUUUGAAUUAAUUUCUAAAUUCUGUUGCUCAUGGGGAUGUGUUUUGGUGUGUGGACAAAAUGAGAGUUCCUGUGGCCAGGAUUCUCACCUGGCAGUGGCUGACUAGCUCACUGCACACCUGUGGGCAAUACAUGGAUGUUGACUCUAUAAAAAGAGCUCUGCCCAGUGCUCUGAGCACGACAUGGUGGCAUGGCUGCAAGGCUGCAGGAGAGCAGAGCAGAGGACAGAGGCCCAGAGGAUGGCUGUGCAGGACGAUUGUGCAGAGAGGCCCGGAGGACAGCUGUGCGGGAUGGCUGGGCAGACAGAGGGGCCCAGAGGCAGAGACCGGCUUGCUGCCUGCAGACUCGCUCUGAGUGACAGGAUUUUAGUGACUGACCUGCCACCUGGAAAUAAAGUUGGGUAUAACCCUUUCACCCCAAGAACGUUUUGCUGUCAUUUUCUUUGGUCACACUGAAUCCAUAGUGAACUUGCCUGGGGCUGAAACCCAUUGGCAAGACACCAUGUUAAGGAAAUAUCUAUUUUGAAGAGGUAAAAUUUAACCAGCCAGUGUGCUUGAUGAAACAAUUUUCUCCACUGUUUGAAUUCUAUUUCAAAGAAACAAAAAAAUUUUAAGACAAUUUAGAGAAUUUGAAUACCUAUUAGAAAUUUGGUGAUGACAAGUUAAGUAUUUUAUGUACCUGGAGAUGCCACUGUUGACUAAAUAGACUUGGUAUUUUUAAAAAAAAGUGCAA